rnacentral:lncRNA from 1 species
UAAAACAUUUAUUAAAAAUGAUAUUGCAACUAUUUGAAUAAAAUAAAAAUAUUCUAAUUUCUUGUAAAACAAUAUUUAUACAGUCAUCGGUAAAUAAUUUUUGUAAUGUAAAAGUUAAAUAAAUUCAUACGUACUAUAAUACAGAUAAUCGGGAUAUGAAAUUUAUUUUACAGUGACUCGUGGGCCCACAAGGAACAAAAGUGCACAAAGGCAGUAAACCUACAGUUUUUGGAGUAGUAAAGUCGACUAUA